GGUUAAGCGACUAAGCGUACACGGUGGAUGCCCUGGCAGUCAGAGGCGAUGAAGGGCGUGCUAAUCUGCGAUAAGCGCCGGUAAGGUGAUAUGAACCGUUAUAACCGGCGAUACCCGAAUGGGGAAACCCAGUGUGAUUCGUCACACUAUCAUUAACUGAAUCCAUAGGUUAAUGAGGCGAACCGGGGGAACUGAAACAUCUAAGUACCCCGAGGAAAAGAAAUCAACCGAGAUUCCCCCAGUAGCGGCGAGCGAACGGGGAGGAGCCCAGAGCCUGAAUCAGCAUGUGUGUUAGUGGAAGCGUCUGGAAAGGCGCGCGAUACAGGGUGACAGCCCCGUACACAAAAGCGCAUGUGCUGUGAGCUCGAUGAGUAGGGCGGGACACGUGGUAUCCUGUCUGAAUAUGGGGGGACCAUCCUCCAAGGCUAAAUACUCCUGACUGACCGAUAGUGAACCAGUACCGUGAGGGAAAGGCGAAAAGAACCCCGGCGAGGGGAGUGAAAAAGAACCUGAAACCGUGUACGUACAAGCAGUGGGAGCACAGGUUUACCUGUGUGACUGCGUACCUUUUGUAUAAUGGGUCAGCGACUUAUAUUCUGUAGCAAGGUUAACCGAAUAGGGGAGCCGGAGGGAAACCGAGUCUUAACCGGGCGUUAAGUUGCAGGGUAUAGACCCGAAACCCGGUGAUCUAGCCAUGGGCAGGUUGAAGGUUGGGUAACACUAACUGGAGGACCGAACCGACUAAUGUUGAAAAAUUAGCGGAUGAGCUGUGGCUGGGGGUGAAAGGCCAAUCAAACCGGGAGAUAGCUGGUUCUCCCCGAAAGCUAUUUAGGUAGCGCCUCGUGAAUUCAUCUCCGGGGGUAGAGCACUGUUUCGGCUAGGGGGCCAUCCCGGCUUACCAACCCGAUGCAAACUGCGAAUACCGGAGAAUGUUAUCACGGGAGACACACGGCGGGUGCUAACGUCCGUCGUGAAGAGGGAAACAACCCAGACCGCCAGCUAAGGUCCCAAAGUCAUGGUUAAGUGGGAAACGAUGUGGGAAGGCCCAGACAGCCAGGAUGUUGGCUUAGAAGCAGCCAUCAUUUAAAGAAAGCGUAAUAGCUCACUGGUCGAGUCGGCCUGCGCGGAAGAUGUAACGGGGCUAAACCAUGCACCGAAGCUGCGGCAGCGAACGUAUCACUUAAAGCGAUUCAGCGGGUUACGAUUGACGGAGCGAAGCGACGUCAAAGCGUAUACAAAGUCGAGUCGGUUUAAGGAUACGUUCGUUGGGUAGGGGAGCGUUCUGUAAGCCUGCGAAGGUGGCCUGUGAGGGUUGCUGGAGGUAUCAGAAGUGCGAAUGCUGACAUAAGUAACGAUAAAGCGGGUGAAAAGCCCGCUCGCCGGAAGACCAAGGGUUCCUGUCCAACGUUAAUCGGGGCAGGGUGAGUCGACCCCUAAGGCGAGGCCGAAAGGCGUAGUCGAUGGGAAACGGGUUAAUAUUCCCGUACUUGGUGUUACUGCGAAGGGGGGACGGAGAAGGCUAUGUUGGCCGGGCGACGGUUGUCCCGGUUUAAGCGUGUAGGCUGGUUUUCCAGGCAAAUCCGGAAAAUCAAGGCUGAGGCGUGAUGACGAGGCACUACGGUGCUGAAGCAACAAAUGCCCUGCUUCCAGGAAAAGCCUCUAAGCAUCAGGUAACAUCAAAUCGUACCCCAAACCGACACAGGUGGUCAGGUAGAGAAUACCAAGGCGCUUGAGAGAACUCGGGUGAAGGAACUAGGCAAAAUGGUGCCGUAACUUCGGGAGAAGGCACGCUGACACGUAGGUGAAGUGAUUUACUCAUGGAGCUGAAGUCAGUCGAAGAUACCAGCUGGCUGCAACUGUUUAUUAAAAACACAGCACUGUGCAAACACGAAAGUGGACGUAUACGGUGUGACGCCUGCCCGGUGCCGGAAGGUUAAUUGAUGGGGUCAGCGCAAGCGAAGCUCCUGAUCGAAGCCCCGGUAAACGGCGGCCGUAACUAUAACGGUCCUAAGGUAGCGAAAUUCCUUGUCGGGUAAGUUCCGACCUGCACGAAUGGCGUAAUGAUGGCCAGGCUGUCUCCACCCGAGACUCAGUGAAAUUGAACUCGCUGUGAAGAUGCAGUGUACCCGCGGCAAGACGGAAAGACCCCGUGAACCUUUACUAUAGCUUGACACUGAACAUUGAGCCUUGAUGUGUAGGAUAGGUGGGAGGCUUUGAAGUGUGGACGCCAGUCUGCAUGGAGCCGACCUUGAAAUACCACCCUUUAAUGUUUGAUGUUCUAACGUGGACCCGUUACCCGGGUUGCGGACAGUGUCUGGUGGGUAGUUUGACUGGGGCGGUCUCCUCCUGAAGAGUAACGGAGGAGCACGAAGGUUGGCUAAUCCUGGUCGGACAUCAGGAGGUUAGUGCAAUGGCAUAAGCCAGCUUGACUGCGAGCGUGACGGCGCGAGCAGGUGCGAAAGCAGGUCAUAGUGAUCCGGUGGUUCUGAAUGGAAGGGCCAUCGCUCAACGGAUAAAAGGUACUCCGGGGAUAACAGGCUGAUACCGCCCAAGAGUUCAUAUCGACGGCGGUGUUUGGCACCUCGAUGUCGGCUCAUCACAUCCUGGGGCUGAAGCAGGUCCCAAGGGUAUGGCUGUUCGCCAUUUAAAGUGGUACGCGAGCUGGGUUUAGAACGUCGUGAGACAGUUCGGUCCCUAUCUGCCGUGGGCGCUGGAGAACUGAGGGGGGCUGCUCCUAGUACGAGAGGACCGGAGUGGACGCAUCACUGGUGUUCGGGUUGUCAUGCCAAUGGCACUGCCCGGUAGCUAAAUGCGGAAGAGAUAAGUGCUGAAAGCAUCUAAGCACGAAACUUGCCCCGAGAUGAGUUCUCCCUGAGACUUUAGGUCUCCUGAAGGAACGUUGAAGACGACGACGUUGAUAGGCCGGGUGUGUAAGCGCAGCGAUGCGUUGAGCUAACCGGUACUAAUGAACCGUGAGGCUUAACCUU
rnacentral:rRNA from 1 species